CCACUAUGGAGGGAUCUCUGAUUGGAGAUCACUCAUGAAGUCCUUUUUGCAAGCCUAGGCCUUUAGAGACAGAAGACAAAGAGACUUAUGUACUUCUAUACUGUGUUGUGGGAGAGAUUUGCAACUUGAGUCCAAACUGGAGUGUCAACUUUGUUGUCUAGUGGUUUGUGACACUGCAGAAGAAGAAAUGAAAGCUGCAUACUGCUGGAAAUAGGAGGAAAAUCAGCUUUUAGCCCUAUGACAUUACAUAAGAACUGCAACGCUGUGACUGAAUUCUGCUGGCAUCAGCUGAAAUGCAGCAGGAGGAACUCUCCACCACCUUGACAUCCCACGUGAACCUAUAGCUCACAGUAGCCACCUCCUGAGUAAACACAUUCAAUCUGGGGAAAAAAAUAAAUAAAUAAACAAAGCAGUCAAGUGUGGAAGUGGGGCAAAUGCAUCUGAUAUUUUAUAUCUACUGAACUUGAUGUACUGACUUUCUUCCAUUAGAAAUUAACUGAUUUUAGUUCCAUCAUUUUUAUAUUUAAUUUUUGGAAUUAUGUCUCAGAUUUUGACCUUCUAGAAAAUGUCAGUAACUAUGCAGAUGAUAUUAAGUUGACAAUAUUAUUAGCCUAAAAUGUUAUCAUUAGAAUAAUUGCAUAUGGUAAGUACAGGGAAAUUUUCAUGUCCAUAUUAUCUGGUUGGUCUAUGUAUAAUACAGCAGCUAGACCCCAGAGAAAUGUUAGUUAAUUUACUGCUCAGUGCAUCAGUAUACUUUUAAGAAAGCACAUGAGCCGUGUGUGAAAAUGAGAAAUAAUCCCUGCAAUUUUUGUUAUAUUAUUGUUGCUGCUAAAUGCCUACUAUUUUUAUUGCUAUUUUUUUUGUUCCAGUCACGUAAUACCCAACAAACAAGAAGCAUAUAUUUCAUUCUAUUAUGAAUAACAGAAGAUAUUUUAAUCUUGGUAUAAAUACAGUACUGUGAUUUGCAUUUAUAUAUUAAAUUAAGGAAUUAUUAAUUCUCUUCACAGAAACACAUGAAUAGUGGUUUAUAUGAAUCAUGUUCUAACACAGGAAAUUUGUUUUCAGUAAAAGAGAAAAAGCAUCCUGGUGAAAAGAAAAAAAUCGAAUGUUGUAAGAACAGCAAACCUAAUUUCAUUUUAUUAUGACCAGGAACUCAUCAACUUUACUUACAGACCUGGGAAGACCAAAAUAGGGAUAUUGCUGUUUGGCACUGUAAUGUUAGUAGUUUGUGUCAGUGUUAAGAACAUCCCAGUCAAGCUAUUGCCAAUAGAUACUAUUCCCUUACAUCACAGAGAUCCAAGCCUCUGUUUCUCUCAAAGAUUAACAAAUUGUUAACUGAAGAAAUAGCUCUUCUAAAACUGAAAAACAAAUUUCAGGCUUACUGUUUGGGUUUUAAGUCAGUGAUAAAUGACAGUCAAUAACUGUUUAACCAGACCAAUAAAAGUAACACAUUGUUGUA